UGACUAAGUGGUCAAAGAGUAUAUUUAAUAUACAGAAAGUGUUAAAGAACGUUUCUGUAAUCUGUUUGAUAUACUUUGACUAAGAGUUUAAACAGACUUGUAUUACUGCUGCUGUGUGCGCACUGUAUUCUUUUUUUUUUCUUUUACGUCGAGUAAAAUCUACUCGCGGCCUCUGAGUUUAUAAAUCGUUCUGAGGAAGACGAGUACAUUACGAGAAACCAGAUAGCGUUCUAAAUCCCCUCGUGGUUUAGAAUUCCUCUGGCGUCGCGGGAUUCAUAAUCAUUCAGCGGAUAGCUGGUGAGACUGCAGACGCACACGGAGUGUCUAACGUGAUCGGUGGACAGCGCGUGUGUCGAAACGAAGACUCAGGUUGACAGCAGAUGAUGAAUCUGUCAGAGGCACAACCAGCUUUAUUUCAACAGGUGUGGACAGGCUUUAGUUAAGCAUGGAAUGGUGACAAUGACAGUCCUCUCUCUCAAU